rnacentral:rRNA from 1 species
UGAGGAAUAUUGGGCAAUGGACGCAAGUCUGACCCAGCCAUGCCGCGUGCAGGAUGACGGCCCUACGGGUUGUAAACUGCUUUUGUACGAGAAGAAUUCUCUUGACGUGUCAGGGGUUGACGGUAUCGUACGAAUAAGCAUCGGCUAACUCCGUGCCAGCAGCCGCGGUAAUACGGAGGAUGCAAGCGUUAUCCGGAUUUAUUGGGUUUAAAGGGUGCGUAGGCGGGAUAUUAAGUCAGUGGUGAAAUCCUGCAGCUUAACUGUAGAACUGCCAUUGAUACUGAUAUUCUUGAGUAUAGUUGAAGUGGGCGGAAUGUGUAAUGUAGCGGUGAAAUGCUUAGAUAUUACACAGAACACCGAUUGCGUAGGCAGCUCGCUAAACUAAUACUGACGCUGAGGCACGAAAGCGUGGGGAGCGAACA